UGGUUGGUGGUGCAUGGCCGUUCUUAGUUCGUGGAGCGAUCUGUCUGGUUAAUUCCGAUAACGAACGAGACUCUUGCCUGCUAAAUAGACGGCGCCGACCCGGUCGGCGACCGUUUGCUUCUUAGAGGGACAAGCGGCUUUUAGCCGCGUGAAGCCGAGAGCAAUAACAGGUCAGUGAUGCCCUCAGAUGUUCGGGGCCGCACGCGCGCUACACUGUUUGCAUCAGCGUGUUUCUCCCGCGCCGGCUGGCGUGGGCAACCCGUUGAACCGCAAACGUGCUAGGGAUCGGAGAUUGCAAUUGUUCUCCGUGAACGAGGAAUUCCUUGUACUGGCGAGUCAUCAGCUCGCGGGGAAUCUGUCCCUGCCCUUUGUACACACCGCCCGUCGCUACUACCGAUUGAGUGGUUUAGUGAGGCUCACGGACUGCGCGCGGCACACGGCGCUUUCGGGCGUCGCGUCGCGAUGCGGAAAGUGAGACGAACUUGAUCACUUCUAGGAAGUA
rnacentral:rRNA from 1 species